rnacentral:siRNA from 1 species
UCCAGUGUACUCGCAUAUGUUG